CAGCAGCCGCGGUAAUACGUAGGUGGCAAGCGUUGUCCGGAAUUAUUGGGCGUAAAGGGCUCGCAGGCGGUUUCUUAAGUCUGAUGUGAAAGCCCCAGGCUCAACCGGGGAGGGUCAUUGGAAACUGGGAAACUUGAGUGCAGAAGAGGAGAGUGGAAUUCCACGUGUAGCGGUGAAAUGCGUAGAGAUGUGGAGGAACACCAGUGGCGAAGGCGACUCUCUGGUCUGUAACUGACGCUGAGGAGCGAAAGCGUGGGGAGCGAACAGGAUUAGAUACCCCGGUAGUCCCUGUCUCUUAUAC
rnacentral:rRNA from 1 species